AUCCCAGGCGAGAUUGAGGGGGGGGCUGGUGUGUUUUCUUCUUCCCCCGUGCUCGCCUGAUUCAUGGGAGGCCCAGAUGAAAGUGCCUUCUGGGGGCUUCGCUGAUGACGCCUGCUCUGCUCUCGCUUCGGGCGUUUACUAGUAGCUUUCCCAUACAUGA